rfam:Pygoscelis adeliae contig20311, whole genome shotgun sequence.
AAAAAGGCUCUUUUUAGAGCCACCCAUAAUAGUCAUAAAGGGCUG